rnacentral:rRNA from 1 species
CUACGGGACGCUCCAGUGGGGAAUAUUGCACAAUGGAGGAAACUCUGAUGCAGCAACGCCGCGUGGAGGAUGACACUUUUCGGAGCGUAAACUCCUUUUAUAUAGGAAGAAGAUGACGGUACUAUAUGAAUAAGCGCCGGCUAACUCCGUGCCAGCAGCCGCGGUAAUACGGAGGGCGCAAGCGUUACUCGGAAUCACCGGGCGUAAAGAGCGUGUAGGCGGAUUAAAAAGUCAGAAGUGAAAUCCUAUAGCUUAACUAUAGAACUGCUUCUGAAACUCUUAAUCUAGAAUAUGGGAGAGGUAGAUGGAAUUUCUGGUGUAGGGGUAAAAUCCGUAGAGAUCAGAAGGAAUACCGAUUGCGAAGGCGAUCUACUAGAACAUUAUUGACGCUGAGGCGCGAAAGCGUGGGGAGCAAACAGGAUUAGAUACCCCGGUAGUC